GGUGGCCUAGUGGUUACAGCUUCCGUUUCCGAUGCGGGAGGUCGUGGGUUCGAUUUCCGGCGUGUCA